rnacentral:misc_RNA from 1 species
GAUGAAGAACGUAGCGAAAUGCGAUAAGUAAUGUGAAUUGCAGAAUUCAGUGAAUCAUCGAAUCUUUGAACGCACAUUGCGCCCCUUGGUAUUCCGAGGGGCAUGCCUGUUCGAGCGUCAUUAUAACCCCUCAAGCUCAGCUUGGUAUUGGGGCCUGCCAUCCUGGCAGCCCUUAAAAUCAGUGGCGGCGCCAUCUGGCUCUAAGCGUAGUAAUUCUUCUCGCUAUGGAGUCCUGGUGGAUGCUUGCCAUCAACCCCCAAUUUUUCUAUGGUUGACCUCGGAUCAGGUAGGGAUACCCGCUGAACUUAAGCAUAUCAAUAAGCGGAGGA